rnacentral:rRNA from 1 species
UGGGGAAUAUUGCACAAUGGGGGAAACCCUGAUGCAGCGACGCCGCGUGGAGGAAGAAGGUCUUCGGAUUGUAAACUCCUGUUGUUGAGGAAAAAGAGGAUGGUACUCAACAAGGAAGUGAUGGCUAACUACGUGCCAGCAGCCGCGGUAAAACGUAGGUCACAAGCGUUGUCCGGAAUUACUGGGUGUAAAGGGAGCGCAGGCGGGUAUGCAAGUUGGGAGUGAAAUACAUGGGCUCAACCCAUGAACUGCUCUCAAAACUGUGUAUCUUGAGUAGUGCAGAGGUAGGCGGAAUUCCCGGUGUAGCGGUGGAAUGCGUAGAUAUCGGGAGGAACACCAGUGGCGAAGGCGGCCUACUGGGCACCAACUGACGCUGAGGCUCGAAAGUGUGGGUAGC